ensembl:lncRNA
UGUUCCCCUCGCGGCCCCGCCUCUCCCUGCUCCCCAAGCUUGGAAGCUGCGCCGCCCCCUGUGUCCCAGCGUGGCAUGGGGGCGUCAGGAUGCCAGCAUUGCCUGCUUCCGGUUCCUCUCCUCUGAAGACCACAGGACGCCCGCUGGCCUCUUCCUUGUCCUCUGUAUCUCUGUUCUACCCGCAGCAGUAAGACACCAAUUGCCAAGUAUGCAUUACGUCUAUCUUAUAUUAUACAAUCUCCUGAAUUAUAUUACUUGGUUAUUUAAAGACCACCUUUACAGAAACAAGUGGCCAAAGAUGAAACUGAGAGACGAGGCUAAGAAAGGAAAGGGAAAUGAACUGGAAGAUCCACAAACCAGUGGUGAUUGCUGCGUUUCUGCGUCUCUCCUCUGUUCUCUUCACCUGGCAGCACUGUGUCUUGCACUUUUGGGAGCCGCUACGCUGUCUCCCUCCAUCCCUGCUUCCACCAGUUGAUAGACUGUCUCCUAACGUGCGUGGACUUUGAUCUGCACUUUGACCCUCCUACGUUUGCUCACCUCUGCCCAUCUUAUGCCCGCCCCAGGUGACCAAGUUUAGCCCACAGGAGACAGUUUAUCCUUCUAGUCAAGCAUUUGGGAGAAAUUCAUCAGCUUGGAUUUACAGUUUCUCCCCUGGCCAGCCACAAGGGGCACCCUUCAAUGGAGAGAAGAAGUACAAAUAAUGCAGAACAAAAUGCAGCCUCUUCAGCCUGCACUGUCCUCACCCCCAUCUAAACCAGAUUUAUUGCUGUUGUUAUUUUGGUUUUCCUUCUUAGCUGUGAACAACAAUACUGUGUUAUUUACCACUGACCUGGGGGCUGAUUGAGUUCAGCUCUGGGGUACUUUUGCUACGCACAACAUUGGCUGGGCAAGCGCAGUGCUGCUCUUAGUUGGGAGUGCAAUCAAAGUCUUUCUCUUAUUCUCUAUGGUCCCGGUUUUUAAGCAGCCCUGCUGAGAAAAGAGCUUCUGGGCCAGCUUUUCACUGGGAAGAUGCGUCUCACAGGGCGGACCGAGGCAUUCUGAGCACUAAGGAGAGCACUUCCUGUUGCAAAUGGAAUCACAUGGAUUAGCCACUGCAGCUGGCUGCAUUGGGUCAGCGGAACUGCCUGCUGCAAGACAGCGACACGACACUGGUUUGCAAGUGGCUCCUGAGAAGAAGCCAAGAGAGCGAGAGCAGUGUGGUUUCAUGUAAACGUGCAUCCUUCUGCAAAACGUCAGGCAAUAACUGUGAGGUCGGAGCUAGCACCGGCAAUUUGCGGUCCCUGCACAUAGAGCAGCCCACUGUGGGGCCAGAACACGCGCUGGUGCUGACUCACGCUCAGGUCAGCGCACAAGGGCGACGUCCAGCAAGGAAGGGGUCAACGUCGCGCUCUGCUUCUGAUGUACAUUUGUCUGAGAGGCCAUAAGAUAACAAAAAAUAUUAUAUUAAAAACACCAGCAUAUUGAUGACUCCAAUCCUUAUUGAUAUACAAUAAUUCCUUGAUCUCUUCAACUUUCAUUUCCUUCAUCUAUUUAACAAUAUACACAACAGGG